rnacentral:rRNA from 1 species
GAUGAACGCUGGCGGCGUGCCUAAUACAUGCAAGUCGAGCGAACGGACGAGAAGCUUGCUUCUCUGAUGUUAGCGGCGGACGGGUGAGUAACACGUGGAUAACCUACCUAUAAGACUGGGAUAACUUCGGGAAACCGGAGCUAAUACCGGAUAAUAUUUUGAACCGCAUGGUUCAAAAGUGAAAGACGGUCUUGCUGUCACUUAUAGAUGGAUCCGCGCUGCAUUAGCUAGUUGGUAAGGUAACGGCUUACCAAGGCAACGAUGCAUAGCCGACCUGAGAGGGUGAUCAGCCACACUGGAACUGAGACACGGUCCAGACUCCUACGGGAGGCAGCAGUAGGGAAUCUUCCGCAAUGGGCGAAAGCCUGACGGAGCAACGCCGCGUGAGUGAUGAAGGUCUUCGGAUCGUAAAACUCUGUUAUUAGGGAAGAACAUAUGUGUAAGUAACUGUGCACAUCUUGACGGUACCUAAUCAGAAAGCCCCGGCUAACUUCGUG